UAUAUGAUCUUCAGCUGUAAAUUGUUUUCAAAUUUUUUGUAAUAAGAAUGAAGUUUGUCCGUUAGUUUUUUUCCAUAUCUGAAUUAAUCAGUGUUGGCCGCGUACUAGUUGUCAUAUAUAAAUUUUAGUACUUCUUAUGAUGACAAUACAGCAGUUUACUCAAGGAAUGGAGACGCAUGGAUUCACUUAUCUCACACGUGGGAAAGUAUCAAAAUCCUACAUUAAUGGACUGGAGGAGGUCGAGAAUAUUGCAGGUUUAAUGCAGUCUACGUAUAAUAGUUACUCAAAGUAAUUAAAAUUCAAUUGAUAGAAGUGCAUCAAAAAGAUGGUGUCAUGAAACCCUGACCAUUACAUAAAAAGGCAGUACGGCAGAUCACUCAAGUCACGCUGAUACAUGAAUUCACAUUACUCACACGUGGGAUAGUAUCAACAGCCUACGUUGCAAAUGGACUAGAAGAUGCUGAGAAUAAUACAUGUUAUAUGCAAUAUGGCACUACGGCAGAUCACACAAGGCAUGCUGAGACAUGGAUUCACAUUUCUCA